GACUGUGUGAAUGUGUGUCUGUGCUGCUUGCUGCUGUUGUCCACCUCCAGAUGAGCAGGUAGUGAAGCCUGUGGUGAGUGUGUACCCAGCAGCAUCCAGAGCCCACCUGGAGGGGAAGAGCUUCCUGCUGUGUCUGGCCUCCGCCAUGUUUCCUUCUCUGGUCCGCUUCUCCUGGAAAAGACAGAAGGAGGACGGCCAGGUAGAAGAGCUGCCCCCUCAGCUGGAGCUCAGAGAGCCAGGACGCAGUGCUGCCAUCUUGCUGAUCGAUCAGCAACAGGACAGCACAUAUAAAUACAGCUGCUACGUCCAGCACGAGGGGGGACCAGUGGAGGCCCAGACACAACAAGAUCUUCCAGCUCCACCAGCCUCCUGUCCUCCAGAGAGAGAGCCAGCAGCCUCGCCAGCUCUGCAGCAAGCUCACUGUAAGACCAGCUGCUGCCUCUCUGCUUGGACAGAUGCAAUGUUCUGCUGCACUUAGAGCUGCACAUCAGUCUGUUCAC